rnacentral:rRNA from 1 species
UGAGGAAUUUUGCGCAAUGGGAGCAAUCCUGACGCAGCAAUGCCGCGUGAGUGACGAAGGCCUUCGGGUCGUAAAGCUCUUUUCUGAGGGAAGAACCAUCGGGACAGGAAAUGGUCCAGGUCUGACGGUACCUCAGGAAUAAGGAACGGCUAACUCCGUGCCAGCAGCCGCGGUAAUACGGAGGUUCCCAGCGUUGUUCGGAAUUACUGGGCGUAAAGGGAGCGCAGGCGGAUAGGUCAGUCUAAAGUGGAAUCCCGGGGCUCAACCUCGGACGUGCUUUGGAUACUGCCAGUCUUGAGUUCGUGGGAGGAAAGCGGAAUUCAGGGUGGAGCGGUGAAAUGCUUAGAGAUCAGGAGGAACACCGGUGGCGAAGGCGUCCAUCUGGCCCAAUACUGACGCUGAGGCGCGAAAGCUAGGGGAGCAAACG